CUGAUGAUGCUCAAAAGGUCAUCAUUGGGCUUUUUAUCAUAAACUAAAAUCUGGCAAGUCCUGAUUUGCUCUCUCUAUGGUUUUUUUGUUCGGUUUUUGUUCAUCAUGAAAUAUUUUCCUUCAAUGAGUGUCGCAUAAACGCAAGCCUUGGUGUUUGCAGACGGUCAUGGAAUCUCAGCUGAUAGUGUACAGAACAUCCGAACAAAAUUUCUCUUAAGGGUCUGCUUACUGGCCAAGAUCGGGUGAUAGUGGGGAAGUUACAACAAAUGAUCUGCUUCUAGGCAUUUGGUCAGAAGUGGAAUCCCCCGGCCACAGGAUACUUGUUUCCCUCGGCUUCAAUUAUGAGAAAGCCAAAGAACUUGAGGCUUCAAGUUUUGGACCUGGGUUUCUUGAUGGAUGAUACCUUCCACGUUCUUGAUGACCAUUGAUGUAAUUUUUGUAUUUGGACAUGGCUGUUUUGAGCUCCUUGACUGAAAUUGCAAACCUCACAAUUCAUGGAUGGCCGUGUAAGUGUAUUCCGCUCAGAUAUGUUCAUUGAAUGUUGGAAACAAGGAAUCCUCUUAUAUUGAAUCUUCAAAAUGUUGCACUUUGUUUU